AUGGUUUCGGUGAUAUUGACCCUUCUCUGUAACUUUUUUCAGGAUGAAUUUCAUCCCUUCAUUGAAGCACUUCUGCCUCACGUCCGAGCGUUUGCGUACACGUGGUUCAACCUGCAAGCCCGAAAAAGAAAAUACUUCAAAAAACAUGAAAAACGUAUGUCAAAAGAGGAAGAGAGAGCCGUGAAGGAUGAACUGCUAAGUGAAAAACCCGAGGUAAAGCAAAAAUGGGCAUCCAGACUUCUGGCAAAGCUCCGGAAAGAUAUCAGGCCUGAAUUUCGGGAGGAUUUUGUUCUCACAGUCACAGGAAAAAAGCCUCCGUGUUGCGUUCUUUCCAAUCCAGACCAGAAGGGCAAGAUGAGAAGAAUUGACUGCCUUCGCCAGGCAGAUAAGGUCUGGAGGUUGGACCUUGUUAUGGUGAUUUUAUUUAAAGGUAUUCCGCUCGAAAGUACUGAUGGCGAGCGCCUUGUAAAGUCCCCACAGUGCUCUAACCCCGGGCUGUGCGUACAGCCCCACCAUAUAGGAGUUUCUGUUAAGGAACUCGAUUUAUAUUUGGCAUACUUUGUGCACGCAGCAG